AUACAGGGGGUGCGAGCGUUAAUCGGAAUUACUGGGCGUAAAGAGUACGUAGGCGGUUGCUUAAGUCAGAUGUGAAAGCCCCGGGCUCAACCUGGGAACUGCAUUUGAAACUGAGUGACUAGAGUUUAAGAGAGGGGAGUAGAAUUCCGGGUGUAGCGGUGAAAUGCGUAGAGAUCCGGAGGAAUACCAGUGGCGAAGGCGGCUCCCUGGCUUAAAACUGACGCUGAGGUGCGAAAGCGUGGGUAGCAAACAGGAUUAGAUACCCUAGUAGUCC
rnacentral:rRNA from 1 species